GGACCUUACCUAGACUUGACAUCCCGGGGAUUUUCUGGAAACAGAGAAGUGCUUUAGCAAUAAAGAACCCGGUGACAGGUGCUGCAUGGCUGUCGUCAGCUCGUGUCGUGAGAUGUUGGGUUAAGUCCCGCAACGAGCGCAACCCUCGCCUUUAGUUGCCAGCAUUCAGUUGGGCACUCUAGAGGGACUGCCGGUGUCAAACCGGAGGAAGGUGGGGAUGACGUCAAGUCCUCAUGGCCUUUAUGUCUAGGGCUACACACGUACUACAAUGGCCGGUACAAAGGGCAGCCACUCAGCGAUGAGGCGCUAAUCCCAUAAAGCCGGUCUCAGUCCGGAUCGCAGUCUGCAACUCGACUGCGUGAAGUUGGAAUCGCUAGUAAU
rnacentral:rRNA from 1 species